rnacentral:rRNA from 1 species
UACGUAGGGGGCAAGCGUUGUCCGGAAUCAUUGGGCGUAAAGAGCGUGUAGGCGGCCCGAUAAGUCCGCUGUGAAAGUCCAGGGCUCAACCCUGGGAUGCCGGUGGAUACUGUCGGGCUCGAGUCCGGAAGAGGAGUGUGGAAUUCCUGGUGUAGCGGUGAAAUGCGCAGAUAUCAGGAGGAACACCAAUGGCGAAGGCAGCACUCUGGGACGUGACUGACGCUGAGACACGAAAGCGUGGGGAUCAAACAGG